UACGUAGGUGGCGAGCGUUGUCCGGAAUUAUUGGGCGUAAAGAGCGUGUAGGUGGGAACAUAAGUCUUUUGUAAAAGUGCGGGGCUCAACCCCGUAAUGCGGAGGAAACUGUGUUUCUUGAGUGCAGGAGAGGAAAGCGGAAUUCCCAGUGUAGCGGUGAAAUGCGUAGAUAUUGGGAGGAACACCAGUGGCGAAGGCGGCUUUCUGGACUGUGUCUGACACUGAGGCGCGAAAGCUAGGGGAGC
rnacentral:rRNA from 1 species